AACGAACGCUGGCGGCAGGCUUAACACAUGCAAGUCGAGCGCCCCGCAAGGGGAGCGGCCGACGGGUGAGUAACGCGUGGGAAUCUACCCAUCUCUACGGAAUAACGCAUGGAAACGUGUGCUAAUACCGUAUACGUCCUUCGGGAGAAAGAUUUAUCGGAGAUGGAUGAGCCCGCGUUGGAUUAGCUAGUUGGUGGGGUAAAGGCCUACCAAGGCGACGAUCCAUAGCUGGUCUGAGAGGAUGAUCAGCCACACUGGGACUGAGACACGGCCCAGACUCCUACGGGAGGCAGCAGUGGGGAACAUUGGACAAUGGGCGCAAGCCUGAUCCAGCCAUGCCGCGUGAGUGAUGAAGGCCCUAGGGUUGUAAAGCUCUUUCACCGGUGAAGAUAAUGACGGUAACCGGAGAAGAAGCCCCGGCUAACUUCGUGCCAGCCGCCGCCGUAAGAC
rnacentral:rRNA from 1 species